rnacentral:rRNA from 1 species
AUUGAACGCUGGCGGCAGGCCUAACACAUGCAAGUCGAACGGUAACAGGAAACAGCUUGCUGUUUCGCUGACGAGUGGCGGACGGGUGAGUAAUGUCUGGGAAACUGCCUGAUGGAGGGGGAUAACUACUGGAAACGGUAGCUAAUACCGCAUAACGUCGCAAGACCAAAGAGGGGGACCUUCGGGCCUCUUGCCAUCGGAUGUGCCCAGAUGGGAUUAGCUAGUAGGUGGGGUAACGGCUCACCUAGGCGACGAUCCCUAGCUGGUCUGAGAGGAUGACCAGCCACACUGGAACUGAGACACGGUCCAGACUCCUACGGGAGGCAGCAGUGGGAAUAUUGCACAAUGGGCGCAAGCCUGAUGCAGCCAUGCCGCGUGUAUGAAGAAGGCCUUCGGGUUGUAAAGUACUUUCAGCGGGGAGGAAGGGAGUAAAGUUAAUACCUUUACUCAUUGACGUUACCCGCAGAAGAAGCACCGGCUAACUCCGUG